AGGAUAAACGCUGGCGGCGUGCCUAACACAUGCAAGUCGAACGUCUCUUCUUUCGGGAAGAGGAGUGGCGGACGGGUGAGGAACACGUGGGAACCUGCCCUUCAGUGAGGAAUACCGGCGAGAAAUCGCCGACAAGACCGCAUAGCCCUCUCUGGUGAGAGCCAGAGAAGGAAAGCCUCGCAAGAGGCGCUGGAGGAGGGGCCUGCGUCCGAUUAGCUAGUUGGUGGGGUAAGAGCCUACCAAGGCGUCGAUCGGUAGCUGGUCUGAGAGGACGAUCAGCCACACUGGGAUUGAGAACGGCCCAGACUCCUACGGGGGGCAGCAGUGAGGAAUUUUCGGCAAUGGGGGAAACCCUGACCGAGCAACGCCGCGUGCAGGAAGACGGCCUUCGGUUGUAACUGCUUUCUUGGACGAGCAAGGACGGUACCAGAGGAAUCAGCCCCGGCUCACUACGUGCCAGCAGCCGC
rnacentral:rRNA from 1 species